rfam:Leuconostoc mesenteroides subsp. mesenteroides ATCC 8293, complete genome.
AAGCAUACGAUGAAUGACCCAGUAAUUGUAUUGAUGCCCUCAGCGAACGGUGAUUAGUGAAAGACCGUGGCUAAGAUACGGUGAAAUUCAGUCAGGAGUAUUGGUUUAAUCGCCAACGGUUGUCUCCGUUAUGGACACCAAAGCUGGAUUUAUCCAGGAAUUUGGGUGGUACCACGGUAUUUAACGUCCCAUGU